rnacentral:tRNA from 1 species
GCGGGCGUAACUCAGUGGUAGAGUGUUUGCUUCCCAAGCAAAAAGUCGUGGGUUCGACUCCCAUCGCCCGCUCCA